GCUGGAUGUUGUGGUGUGCACUUGUAGCCCCAUCUACUUAGGAAGUUGAGGCAAGAGGAUCGCUUAAGCCCAGGAGUUGAGGGCCAACCUGGGCAACAUAGCAUGACACUGUCUCAA
rnacentral:sRNA from 1 species